CACACAAGUAAGCUUGCCUAAAUAAUCACAAUGGUCGUCUCUAGGACGCCUCGAGCCAUCGCAGCGCUACUCCUCCUACUUCUCAUCACCUCCUGCGGAGUAGCCACCGCGACCACCACCGCUGCCAAAGCAUUUCCAGCAAUUACACUUGGACGGAGAGCUCUUUACAAACCCAAUGAAAUUAGACGGGUACUUCAAGUAACUGGUACUCCUCCUUAUGCAACAUAUGGACCUUGGCCAGGUAUAGGAGGUUGAUUCACCACUCCCUACCUGGCUCUGCCUUAUUCAAUAUUCCAAACAAGCCGUUGACAAGCAUUUUAUGACAUUUAUAUAUAUAUAUAUAUAUAGAGAGAGAGAGAGAGAGAGAGUUUUAUGCACUUUUGUGUAUUGAAUAAGAAUAUUGUAGGGAAAGAGUCCUAUGUAUAAUUAAUUACACAUCAAUGUUAUAAUUUCCUGCAUAAAUAUAUAUAUAAUAGCUAAUAUAUAUUUGUGGCCACAACAUGAACAAAUAUUUAUUUAAUGAAUUAUA